rnacentral:rRNA from 1 species
UAGGGAAUCUUCGGCAAUGGACGAAAGUCUGACCGAGCAACGCCGCGUGAGUGAAGAAGGCUUUCGGAUCGUAAAACUCUGUUGUUAGAGAAGAACAAGGACGUUAGUAACUGAACGUCCCCUGACGGUAUCUAACCAGAAAGCCACGGCUAACUACGUGCCAGCAGCCGCGGUAAUACGUAGGUGGCAAGCGUUGUCCGGAUUUAUUGGGCGUAAAGCGAGCGCAGGCGGUUUCUUAAGUCUGAUGUGAAAGCCCCCGGCUCAACCGGGGAGGGUCAUUGGAAACUGGGAGACUUGAGUGCAGAAGAGGAGAGUGGAAUUCCAGGUGUAGCGGUGAAAUGCGUAGAUAUAUGGAGGAACACCAGUGGCGAAGGCGGCUCUCUGGUCUGUAACUGACGCUGAGGCUCGAAAGCGUGGGGAGCAAACA